rnacentral:rRNA from 1 species
AACGAACGCUGGCGGCAGGCCUAACACAUGCAAGUCGAGCGAGAUCUUCGGGUCUAGCGGCGAACGGGUGAGUAACGCGUGGGAAUAUGCCUCUUGGUACGGAAUAGCCUCGGGAAACUGGGAGUAAUACCGUAUGUGCCCUUUGGGGGAAAGAUUUAUCGCCAAGAGAUUAGCCCGCGUUGGAUUAGGUAGUUGGUGGGGUAAUGGCCUACCAAGCCGACGAUCCAUAGCUGGUUUGAGAGGAUGAUCAGCCACACUGGGACUGAGACACGGCCCAGACUCCUACGGGAGGCAGCAGUGGGGAAUCUUAGACAAUGGGGGCAACCCUGAUCUAGCCAUGCCGCGUGAGUGAUGAAGGCCUUAGGGUUGUAAAGCUCUUUCAGCUGGGAAGAUAAUGACGGUACCAGCAGAAGAAGCCCCGGCUAACUCCGUGCCAGCAGCCGCGGUAAUACGGAGGGGGCUAGCGUUGUUCGGAAUUACUGGGCGUAAAGCGCACGUAGGCGGACCAGAAAGUUGGGGGUGAAAUCCCGGGGCUCAACCCCGGAACUGCCUUCAAAACUAUUGGUCUGGAGUUCGAGAGAGGUGAGUGGAAUUCCGAGUGUAGAGGUGAAAUUCGUAGAUAUUCGGAAGAACACCAGUGGCGAAGGCGGCUCACUGGCUCGAUACUGACGCUGAGGUGCGAAAGCGUGGGGAGCAAACAG